CGGCACUCUAGCUACGUUUCACCGGAAGAGUAGAUGUUUACGAUUCUGGCUGUAUUCUGGAGCGUUUCCUCAUGGGCAGUUCACACACGUCACGGAUUCCGCCAAAGGAGUCGAUAAUUAAAACUGAACUUUUGGAUCGGAGAUAUGAAGACGCGCGCUGCAUUUUGCUUGGCGGAGACGCACAGCUCUGACACUAGACAAUAUUAUACACUCAAAGGGACCGCUCAAAGUCCAGAAGAAUAAAUAAUUACAAAUGGUAUUCGUCAGUGAACAUUUUCAAACUGGGAAUAAUAUAUCAUAAGCAGAUUGAAAUGUGUGAACGUUUCAGUGUUUCGAAGACUAAGUUUCGUAGCAGAUUUUGAUUCCGUCACGGGGUAUGUAUUUUCUUAUUUCUCAGUAGGUUUUUUUUAUUAUAG